UAGGGAAUUUUCGGCAAUGGGGGAAACCCUGACCGAGCGACGCCGCGUGAGGGAUGAAGGCCUUCGGGUUGUAAACCUCUGUCUUCGGGGACGAUGAUGACGGUACCCGAGGAGGAAGCCACGGCUAACUACGUGCAAGCAGCCGCGGUAAGCCGUGGGUGGCGAGCGUUGUCCGGAAUUAUUGGGCGUAAAGGGCGUGUAGGCGGCCUGUCAAGUCAGACGUGAAAUCCCUGGGCUUAACCUUGGGACUGCGUUUGAUACUGAUGGGCUUGAGGACAGGAGAGGAAAGUGGAACUCCGUGUGUAGCGGUGAAAUGCUCAGAUAUACGGAAGAACACCAGUGGCGAAGGCGACUUUCUGGACUGUCCCUGACGCUGAGGCGCGAAAGCCAGGGGAGCGAACGG
rnacentral:rRNA from 1 species